rnacentral:rRNA from 1 species
UACAGAGGUCCCAAGCGUUGUUCGGAUUCACUGGGCGUAAAGGGUGCGUAGGUGGCGUGGUAAGUUUGAUGUGAAAGCUCAGGGCUUAACCCUGAAAUGGCAUUGAAUACUACUGUGCUGGAGGUUUGGAGGGGGGACUGGAAUUCUUGGUGUAGCAGUGAAAUGCGCAGAUAUCAGGAGGAACACCGGUGGCGAAGGCGGGUCUCUGGGCCGAUACUGACGCUGAGGAGCGAAAGCGUGGGGAGCAAACAGG